rnacentral:ncRNA from 1 species
UGACCUCGGAUCAGGUAGGAAUACGCGCUGAACUUAAGCAUAUCAAUAAGCGCAGGAAAAGAAACCAACAGGGAUUGCCUCAGUAACGGCGAGUGAAGCGGCAACAGCUCAAAUUUGAAAUCUGGCCUCUCGGGGUCCGAGUUGUAAUUUGUAGAGGAUGUUUUGGGUACCGCCCCGGUCUAAAUUUCUUGGAACAGAAUGUCAGAGAGGGUGAGAAUCCCGUCUUGGACCGGCGGUAGGGCCUGUGUAAAA